rnacentral:rRNA from 1 species
UUUAUGGAGAGUUUGAUCCUGGCUCAGGAUGAACGCUGGCGGCGUGCCUAAUACAUGCAAGUCGAGCGAACGGACGAGAAGCUUGCUUCUCUGAUGUUAGCGGCGGACGGGUGAGUAACACGUGGAUAACCUACCUAUAAGACUGGGAUAACUUCGGGAAACCGGAGCUAAUACCGGAUAAUAUUUUGAACCGCAUGGUUCAAAAGUGAAAGACGGUCUUGCUGUCACUUAUAGAUGGAUCCGCGCUGCAUUAGCUAGUUGGUAAGGUGACGGCUUACCAAGGCAACGAUGCAUAGCCGACCUGAGAGGGUGAUCGGCCACACUGGAACUGAGACACGGUCCAGACUCCUACGGGAGGCAGCAGUAGGGAAUCUUCCGCAAUGGGCGAAAGCCUGACGGAGCAACGCCGCGUGAGUGAUGAAGGUCUUCGGAUCGUAAAACUCUGUUAUUAGGGAAGAACAUAUGUGUAAGUAACUGUGCACAUCUUGACGGUACCUAAUCAGAAAGCCACGGCUAACUACGUGCCAGCAGCCGCGGUAAUACGUAGGUGGCAAGCGUUAUCCGGAAUUAUUGGGCGUAAAGCGCGCGUAGGCGGUUUUUUAAGUCUGAUGUGAAAGCCCACGGCUCAACCGUGGAGGGUCAUUGGAAACUGGAAAACUUGAGUGCAGAAGAGGAAAGUGGAAUUUCAUGUGUAGCGGUGAAAUGCGCAGAGAUAUGGAGGAACACCAGUGGCGAAGGCGACUUUCUGGUCUGUAACUGACGCUGAUGUGCGAAAGCGUGGGGAUCAAACAGGAUUAGAUACCCUGGUAGUCCACGCCGUAAACGAUGAGUGCUAAGUGUUAGGGGGUUUCCGCCCCUUAGUGCUGCAGCUAACGCAUUAAGCACUCCGCCUGGGGAGUACGACCGCAAGGUUGAAACUCAAAGGAAUUGACGGGGACCCGCACAAGCGGUGGAGCAUGUGGUUUAAUUCGAAGCAACGCGAAGAACCUUACCAAAUCUUGACAUCCUUUGACAACUCUAGAGAUAGAGCCUUCCCCUUCGGGGGACAAAGUGACAGGUGGUGCAUGGUUGUCGUCAGCUCGUGUCGUGAGAUGUUGGGUUAAGUCCCGCAACGAGCGCAACCCUUAAGCUUAGUUGCCAUCAUUAAGUUGGGCACUCUAAGUUGACUGCCGGUGACAAACCGGAGGAAGGUGGGGAUGACGUCAAAUCAUCAUGCCCCUUAUGAUUUGGGCUACACACGUGCUACAAUGGACAAUACAAAGGGCAGCGAAACCGCGAGGUCAAGCAAAUCCCAUAAAGUUGUUCUCAGUUCGGAUUGUAGUCUGCAACUCGACUACAUGAAGCUGGAAUCGCUAGUAAUCGUAGAUCAGCAUGCUACGGUGAAUACGUUCCCGGGUCUUGUACACACCGCCCGUCACACCACGAGAGUUUGUAACACCCGAAGCCGGUGGAGUAACCUUUUAGGAGCUAGCCGUCGAAGGUGGGACAAAUGAUUGGGGUGAAGUCGUAACAAGGUAGCCGUAUCGGAAGGUGCGGCUGGAUCACCUCCUUU